UACGGGGGGGGCAAGCGUUGUUCGGAAUUACUGGGCGUAAAGGGCUCGUAGGCGCCAACUAAGUCGGAUGUGAAAUCCCCAGGCUUAACCUGGGAACUGCAUCCGAUACUGGAUGGCUUGAAUCCGGGAGAGGGAUGCGGAAUUCCAGGUGUAGCGGUGAAAUGCGUAGAUAUCUGGAGGAACACCGGUGGCGAAGGCGGCAUCCUGGACCGGCAUUGACGCUGAGGAGCGAAAGCCAGGGGAGCAAACGGG
rnacentral:rRNA from 1 species